UGAUAUAAUCUUAAAUAUACUUUGGUCUUUUUCAAUUCACAUAAUUUGUUGAUAUAAUCUUUUUUUUAUUUUUUAUUUUUUGAGGUUUCUCUGGAUAUGGGAUUUGAUCGAAAUGUGUGAUUUUUAUCGUAAGGCUAUGAAAUUUUACUAAAUUAUGCUUCAAGCUAUGGAAUUUACUUAACUGUUUGUUUUACUACUAUGUUUACUUAACUGUGUAUACAAGAGCAGGAGAUGGAAAUCGAAGCGUUGGAAGAAAAUACUUGCGGAUGACUUCAAAGAAAUACAUUCGGGUGAGAGCGGGUUAAAUACUUCCAAGAGGUGUUUUCAAAUAAAAGUAUCUCCAGUGGCUUUGGUGCAGUGAAUUACUGGAGCAUUCAAACAGAGAUACAAACAGAAUUACUGCAUUACUAAGGUAUUUCCCUCAUUUCAUUCUUAAUUUGUUAGAUGGUAGACAAUCGCACAUCAUGUUUAAUAUUUACUUUGAAUGCUGUCAAAGGCAUCACCUUUUUAUGCCUACUUUAGAACAAAACUCUAAUUAAUAAAAGUACAAACACGUUGAUGAGAAAAUAUUAUUUUUGACGGAUGAAACAUAAAAUUGACGUUUUGGGAGGCUUCACAUGAGAUAAGACUUUACAUUUUUCGUACUUGAGUAAUUUCAACACCAUCGUGAUCAAUUUUAAGCAUGUACUUGCUUUUUCUUUCCAAACGGUUAGAGAAGAGUGUGUUAGAUUAUGUCAUGGAACCUUCAAGUGGAGUUUUUUUUUUUUCACGGUAAGUAGAAUAUAAAGGGAAGGUCAUGCCCAAAGACUUACUUACUAAGGCAAAACACCAGAAACAGAGACGGGAAAGCAUAGAAAUGGUACAACAAAAAUAAUAGCAAAAGGUGAUUACAUGAAGGGUAAGUGACUUGAAGUAAAACUUCAGUCUCGACCCCAUUUCUUAAAACCAAGCCCCAGAGAAAGAUAGGAUAGGGUUAACAGUGCAAAAGGAAGUAUCGUCGUCUUCGGAUUUGAAAUCAACAGACAAAUAUAGUAUACACAAGGUUGAUGUGGAGUGAAUGUGGAGUGUGUAGAGUAAUUCGGGGUCCCUGAAUCGUAAGCGAUAUUUUAUUCAUUCAUUCAUUCAUUCAAGGUAGCUGUAGCUUGCUUCCAAGUUCAAGUGCUAGCGAUAGAAUAGGUAGAACACUAAGACACGAUGACACGAUUAUAGCACAACACUAUGACACGAUUAUCUAAUCUGCCUCACCAAAUGACACUAUCUGUUUUGUCCAUGCAUUUUUGUGUCACCCAUAAAUGAAAUAAUCCCCUUUUUGUGAUCCUUAAGUCUAUUCAUUCACCCACCAUAAAAAUCAAAUGAGUAAAAAACAUAUUAUCUGUGUCUUUAUUGUUCUGUUUUCUAUUUGGUACUCAUAUGUUCGUCAAAUACGACACGCAUCCUUACUUCUUUAUUGUGAAUACUCUUCAUUUCAUGUUAUAUAUUUUCUUGCCAAAGAGUAAAUAGGUAGAAAAAUUAAACAUUUGUACAUGGCUUUAUCAAGAGGAGUUUCAGCGUCUACAACAAAAGUCUUGGUAAAGAAAGGAGAAUUACACAGUCAUGAAGGAGUCUUCACAAGAAAUGUUGUGUACAAAGAUAUUUUGCUUCCCUCGAAUUCAACAUACGGUUACAUUCUUUCUUUUAAUGUUUAAUUCCCUUUUUCAACCUUUAAUGCAAUUCAAUUACAAAUAAUGCUAAUAUUUGAUGUUAACUAAACGCAUUAAAUUUUCAACAGGAUGAAACGAUAUAAGUUCAUUAUAUGUUUUGCUGUCAAGUGUGUCAAGGUCAAUUGAAGUUUUUGGAUUGUUUUUAUACUUUUUAUUUAGCUUUUAGUUGCAA